rnacentral:lncRNA from 1 species
GGUACUCCUAAUUCUACUGUGGGUUGAUGCUUGUGUUUAAAAUAGAAAGAAAUACUGAAUUUCAGUUACAGAUUAGUGAACAUCUUUUUCCUCAAUCCAAGUUCACAGAUGGCUGAAUUCUUAACAUGAACCCCAGAUUAAGAACUGACUUGGAGGAUAACUGGGGUCCCUUCCAGCUCUCACACCAAGUGAUUUGAGUCUGAUCCCCAGCAGUCCUGGGGGUGGGAAGAGGAAGCCCUGUGCUCUGAGGAUGUUGACCCCAGGACAGGCACACCACAGCCUGGCUUUCCCAGAUUGAUCUGCUCUCAUGUUUCAGAGAAACUGGCUGGCAACUCCCCACGGGAGCCUUUGCCCUCACUGAUCAAUGGCUGCUGCCUCAGAUCUAUUGACCCAGCCUCUUGUUUUCCAGAAACAACCCGCCUUUCUCUUGUUAACCCCUGCCAGCCUGGCCCCAAACAGGAUGCCUCUGUGCUCCCAGCUCAGCACUAGAGCAAGACAGACUUCAGGAGAAGGACAGCAUCCUGUGGAUGAAGAGCACCUGCCAAAGGCCAGGAGCUAUGCUGGGCCCUCUCAUCUAAAUAAUUGGCUCAUUUAAUUGGCUGGCAGCAAAGGAGCUAGGCUUCAAAUCCCAGGUCUGUCUGAACUUCAAAUGCUGCUCUUUCUCCAGGGUACCAGAAGCCUCUAUCCCUGCUUCACCAUACAGAGUGGCGUGCUUGAGGAAGAGUCAUGAGUAAUAUUGAGGAUGAUUCAGCGUCUCUCGGUUGUUGCACUCCUGCACCACCUAAAGAGAAAAACGACAAGACAAGAACAUUUCUUUUCUGAUACCAGUGUCAUAAUAUGAUAUUGGAUAAUUACAGCGCAAUGUAAUCAUAUCUCAAGGGGGAAUAUAUAGCUCAAAACACAGAGCUGGGUGUGGGGACCAGGGCUUGAUUCCCCAGGAGUGUGGGGACCUGACCUAGGUUCUAAGACCUGCUCAGUCUCAGAAUCAAUCAGCUGAUUGGACUGUGGGCAAGCCCCCUUUGCUAACUGUUCUUAGCAUGGCCCUGAAGAUUCUGGGGUUGGCAACUGUAAAUGCCACGGGAGCCUAGCUUACCUGAGUCCUCUGGGGACUCAGCCUGUGGCGUGUCUGCCCCUGAGGCAGAGCCCAGAAGCCAGUGCUGGACAUCAGGCUCAGGGGACAGUCAAGGUGAGUACCAGCUCAUUUCCACCAGAGGUCAGCAUUGCUCAGUGGUCGGAAGCUCCGCAGACACCAGCUUGGCCCAGGAUAUACCUCCGGGAGGCAUCUCUAUGCUCCUUGUCUGGCUGAGACGAGAGUGUCCAGUGCUUAUUUCCAACUCCCUAACCAUGCCUAGAACCUGAGCGGUCACAAGGGUGGGAGAUGCUAUAGCACCUGCCUCAUGCCUUCUUGGCAAAGGGAGAUUGCGGUUGGAUACUCGUGGUACCUCUUGCAGCCCUGGGGCUGGUGUGCAACUCAUCAGCUGAGCCCUGUGGCAUCCUGAGGUGGCUCCCUUUCUGCAUUCAUACCAAACUGUUGACUGUACCACUGGCUGCUGUCAGUCUUGGGAAGGCAUGGCUGGCACCUAUCAUACCUCAAAAAACGAAGAUGCAAAGUAUCAUUAAAAAAGAACAACAACAAGGGCUGGCCCUGUGGCCGAGUGGUUAAGUUCGUGUGCUCUGCUGCAGGCGGCCCAGUGUUUCGUUGGUUCGAAUCCUGGGCGCAGACAUGGCAUGCUCAUCAAACCACGCUGAGGCAGCCUCCCACAUGCCACAACUAGAAGGACCCACAACGAAGAAUAUACAACUAUGUACUGGGGGGCUUUGGGGAAAAAAAGUAAAAAAAUUUUUUUUAAAAAAAAAAAAGAACAACAAAAUGCGACUGCACAAAUUGUUCAGGAUUAUGAACUGUAUACCAUUGUGUAUACCAUUGCAGACCCUGGAACCAGCCCUCCUAGAUUUGGAUCCCCCUUCCAAUACUUAGAAAUUGAGGGAUGUAGGUAAAUUUCUUACCAUCUUUGUGCCUCACUUUCUACAUCUGUAAACAGGGAAUAUUAUCAUUCCCAUUUAUCAUAAUCGACCCUCCCUAUCCCACAGAGAUACUGUGAGGAUUAAAUGAGAUAAUUGCAAUAGGCAAUGUUUAAUGAGCAUUUGCUCUGUGUCAGGCACAGACCUAAGACUUUUCUUGUAGUAUCUCAUAAUUCUGACAACUCCUGUAUAUUAUUACCUCCAUUUUACAGUUUGUGAAACCAAGGCUUGGAGGGCAUACUAGCAGAGCCAGAAUUUUAAAUGAGUGGUUUUGCCCUCAGAUGUUGCUCUUUAAUCAUUGUCCUUCAUUGUUGCCUGUUGACGUGGAGUGAACACUCAAUAAAUA